CAGUAGCCGCGGUAAUACGGAGGGGGCUAGCGUUGUUCGGAAUUACUGGGCGUAAAGCGCACGUAGGCGGCUUGGUAAGUUAGAGGUGAAAGCCCGGAGCUCAACUCCGGAAUUGCCUUUAAGACUGCCGAGCUAGCAGGUGAGAGAGGUAAGUGGAAUUCCGAGUGUAGAGGUAAAAUUCGUAGAUAUUCGGAAGAACACCAGUGGCGAAGGCGGCUUACUGGCUCAUACUGGACGCUGAGGUGCGAAAGCGUGGGGAGCAAACAGGAUUAGAUACCCGAGUAGUCCCUGUCUAUUAUAC
rnacentral:rRNA from 1 species